UUACAAGGAGAAAUUGGCACUCUGCAACCUGAAAGAGGUUUCUCACCAGAUCUCAUCCUUACUGGUUAUGAUCCAGUAAGAUUGAUAAACCGGCACAUAAAAAACUAAUUUAUUACAGCACACACAGAACAGUUGAUUGUCAUCAAACAGCUUGCAAAAGAACUGAUGUGAAAGUAGGACGAAAGGGCAAAGAAAAAGAGAUCAAUGUGACCCUGAAUGAAA